GACGAACGCUGGCGGCGUGCUUAACACAUGCAAGUCGAACGGAAAGGCCCUGCUUUUGUGGGGUGCUCGAGUGGCGAACGGUGAGUAACACGUGAGUAACCUGCCCUUGACUUUGGGAUAACUUCAGGAACUGGGGCUAAUACCGGAUAGGAGCUCCUGCUGCAUGGUGGGGUUGGAAAGUUUCGGCGGUUGGGGAUGGACUCGCGGCUUAUCAGCUUGUUGGUGGGGUAGUGGCUUACCAAGGCUUUGACGGGUAGCCGGCCUGAGAGGGUGACCGGCCACAUUGGGACUGAGAUACGGCCAGACUCCUACGGGAGGCAGCAGUGGGAAUAUUGCACAAUGGGCGGAAGCCUGAUGCAGCAACGCCGCGUGCGGGAUGACGG
rnacentral:rRNA from 1 species